rnacentral:lncRNA from 1 species
CGCGGGAAGGCUUGGUUGUGGGAUUGGGGUUCGGCCCGAUGGGCAAAUCGUCUGGGAUUGGGGGAGGACGACGGAAGCAGCAGCCACUGGCGACCGCAGGGUCAUCAUAAGCAUAAGGGAACGGUAUGGCGGGGGGCAUCAACAACUUCCUCCUAUUUCUCCUCUCCUUGUUCUCGUUAAGGAGCUUCUCGAACCGUCGAAUGGGUAGGAGUAUCAACUGUUUUACCUUCUUCUUCUUCUUCUUCUUCUUCUUCUUCUUCUUCUUAUUAUUAUCGAUCUCUGCCAUAUCAUCCACUUCAUCAUCACAAACUUUUUCUCCCCUGCCUCCAUCUGCAAUCCCCGCUUCCUCCCGGACUGCUGCUGCUGCUGCUGAUUCCACUUCUUCUUCGUCGUGAUUGGAUUCUCCCGUAUAAGUCAUGUACUGUGGAUCGGAGAUUGGGGAGAGCAGGAAUCCGCGAAUGGAUCGAGUGACGGGGGAAAGAGAAGAGGAGGAGGAGCACUUGCCGGCGGUGUCGGUCGGCGAAAGAGCAAAUGGGAGAGAGAGAGGAGAUGUCUCGAACGAAUCGCGUCGGGCCCAUCACCACCUCAGCACGCAUAUAAAGCAUUGCCCGUGAAAUGUAUUUAAGGUUGCAAAGAACCGCCUAAUAUUCUAUUCACCAG